GCCUGGGUGGCUCAGUCGGUUGAGCAUCCGACUUUGGCUCAGGUCAUGAUCUCACAGCUUGUGAGUUCAAGCCCCGCUUUGGGCU
rnacentral:tRNA from 1 species